CUUUACUUCUGAUUUCUUUAGCACUUCCUCGUAUUUACGAUGUGCUCAGGGCUGUGUAAUAACAACACACAGCCCAGGACUGAGAAUCCUUUUAUUUUGUCUGGUAUGAAAGACUUUUGAAAUUUCCCCGUAGUUUAAAGACCCGGGUCAGAUGCCUGAGCUGUCUCCGUCCCAGAUUCCUUUCCUCUUACUGCAGAGUCCUUAGCACAGACCUCAGAGGUGGAAAUGGCAUUGGGUGAUGCAGGGCAGCGAGAGCGUGAAGGUGUGUUGCGCGCACUUUGGACUGCGCACGGAUCUGUUCACCACCGCAUCUUCAUAUACUGAUGUAUUCAGAAGCUUCUUCUAGCAACAUUCCCAGACAAAAGACAAACCAUGGAGCUACUACAGCCUCAGAUUUGUGCAACGGAGAGAGAAAGAGGAGCAGCAUCAAUGGAAGCAUGGUAGAAGGGAUGGCCAUGGUUCAGCAAGAUUUAAUGGACUGGCAGACCUGGCUGCAAAAGAAGGUAUCUGUAAUGGCGUGGCACCCACCUCUCACAAGAACCUCCUUCUGAUCAGGCCCAGCAGCCAGCCAGGAGCUCUUCCUCUCACCCCUGGUCCUUGCCAGCACUGAGCUGUCCAUGGUGCUGCAGUUCCCUUUGGUCAGCCAGGAGCACCCUCUACACUCCUCUGACUCCAGCAAGAAACUGACUGUCCCUGCAGCUCUUUUUAUAUGGCUCUCCUGGGCCAUGGGUGGCUGCUUCUCCUGCAGCCACUCUGGAACAUGUGUUCAGGACCCUGAGGCCUCCAGCACAGCACCUCUGGACCUAGUCCACACCAUCGCAUACAAUAGAUAGCAAGCCCUAGAAAAAGCUGAGUCUAUUUGGGACAAUUUCCUAGAACUGGUCAACUAAAAACCCCUGCAGGAUGCCUGAAAGAAAGACAGGAGAUAAAUCUAUAUCCUUCUUCCGUAUUCCAUCUCUUCCCCCCUGCCUUUUUCCCUUUCAUUUUUAUUUAUUAAUUCAUUUGGA